GAUUUAUUGAGCACAUACCACACUCCACGC
rnacentral:piRNA from 1 species